rnacentral:rRNA from 1 species
UACGUAGGGUGCGAGCGUUGCCCGGAUUUAUUGGGCGUAAAGGGCGCGUAGGCGGCUCUGCACGUUCGUUGUGAAAUCGCCCGGCUCAACUGGGCGGGGUCAGCGGAUACGGCAGAGCUUGAGCAAGCUAGGGGGCAAUGGAAUUCCCGGUGUAGUGGUGGAAUGCGUAGAUAUCGGGAGGAACACCAGUGGCGAAGGCGGUUGCCUGGAGCUUUGCUGACGCUGAGGCGCGAAAGCGUGGGGAGCGAUCCGG